rnacentral:lncRNA from 1 species
CCGGGAGCACGAAAGUCUGCCAACCUUGUUGCUAGCCCAGCCCCGUCUUAUUCGGCAUAAUUUCUGGAAAAAGCGAUCCACGUGAACUUGUGCACCAUGUCAGAAGACUCAGAUGAGAGGCGUAAGAAGGCAUUUAAAUACAGUUUAAGUAAUAUCAAAGCGGUAAAUGACAAUUAGCACAUUAAGUCCACAAAAUACAGUAAUGUCAACAUUAAAGCCAUAUAAAAAUUGCAUUAACAAGCUCAAAUUCUUAAACCCUGAACUAGAAGUUCUGGAUUCUUAUCCCCGGCAGAGUCGCCAGAGCUAUCACACCUUCUUUUUUAUACCCCAUGAGGGAUAUAAGGGAGUUGUUUUACUUUAAGUGAUAUUAUUCGAAAUAGGAUUAAUUAUUCAAUUUAGAGUCGUCACUUGGGAGAGUUUAUUUGGUGUCCCAAGUCACCGGUUUAGUAUUAAACCCCAAAUCGAGGAAAUUUUAACUUUCCUUCUGAAAUCUGCGAACUAAAAAUUCUAAGUAAGGAAUUCUGUUAACCCGGGGGAAGUUGUUAGGCACCUCCGAAUUCCGUGGUUAUAGCACGGUCACUUAGAAAUUUAUAUUUGGCUUAAUUGUUUAGCUACUCAUUUUUAGGAGCUAUAUUCAAUUAUCUUUUUACCACUUUUGAAACACUUGAAUUAUUCGUAAUUAAAAAAUCGAGUUACGCGUACGUAUACUCUUUUGAUGCGUCAAAAAUCAUGUCACGCGAAUGUGUCCACAAUUAAUAAUGCUUUAUUUAUUUAUUAAUAAAAAUCAAAUAAAGUUGUGCGAAUACAUCCCUCGAGUCUUUUUGUGUUAAACUUGCAAUUAUAUUAUGCGAACGUAUAUAUAACCGCAAUACUAAUCUAAAUCGGGCCUAAAGCAAACUAUGAUGAUUUGAUAUUUGUUAUCUAAGUUAUGAAAUUAAUACGAGGGCCUUGAGCUUAAGAACUUUGUUUAGCAAGGCAUACCUCAAAUACUUGAAGAGCUUUAUUAAAGUCACUUAGGAGACUAAUUUAAACUCAACCAAAGCUAAACAAUUAUGAAGAGGUCUUAAAGAUAUUUUGGGCCAAAGGAAAAUGGACCAAUGACAGCCUGCUACUGAAUCAGCUUUGAGAACUAAAAUUUGGGCUCACAAAUGGCCCAGAAAUUGAUAUACUAGAUUGCAAAUACAGAUAAAAAAACGCACAUCCCAGGUUUGGCUUAAUUCCCAAACAGCCCGGCGCUAAAACUGAUUACGGAAGAUUCAAUUAAAUUCAAAUAUUCUUAUGGAAAAUUGAUACCAAAACUAACUUGGAAGUUAAAACUCGAACUAUAUUGAACAAAGAUUUAUAUUUAAAAAAUUAAAUUUUGUUAGGUCAACUCGUGAAGUCCAAACGCCUAAGCCCAAAUAGCUCAAGCUAGACUUGCACUGAUUAGGCCCAAGGUUUGGGCUUAAUUGUGACCCCAACACCAGGUUUUGCAUAUAUAUCCAAAUUCAUUUAUGGCAUAAAUGAAACAUCCUACUUUCACAGGAUUACUGAUAAGAAAAUAGAUUAAAAAAUUUAACAAUCCACUUUACAAAUUUAUAUGUCCUAAAAAUUAUAGAAUAACGUUUAAAUUCUUAGAGGAUCAGCACAGUAACAACUGAUAUCCAAGGAAAUUUAAAGAAAACAACAAAUACAGUAAAAUGAUGGCCUUCUACUACUUCCAGGUUUUCCUUUUUAUUACUUCUUCAAACCCGAAGUGCUAAAUCUACAAGAACCUAGCUACAAAGUUGUUUCUUGCAAAUCUACUUGCCCAAGUUUCCAACAUGAGACUUCUUGUGGCUAAAUCAGCCAUAUUUCCCAAGUAUCGCAUAGAUCUGACCAUGAAAAAGGUCAGAUUCACAAAAUUACUUCAUUCGUACAACCUUGACAGACCUAAGUUAAAGAUUGAGAAUGCAAUAACUAAAACACUAAUGGUUCAUGAGUUUAACCAUAUUGAGGGUUAAACACAUACAUCAUUAAAGAUUUCAACUCAAAAUCCUAGCAGCCUCAUCCUCUUUCAAAUAUGUACUUCCUGCCUUAACAACUUUCAUAGCCAUUGGUCCACCAACUGGUGGCUAAGCCAAUAAGCUACAACUUAUGAUCAAACAAUCAAAAGACAAAUGCGAGCAGCAUUUUUGGAGUAAUAAAAUCAAAUGAAGGAGGGAAAGAAAGCAUUACAAACUAAAACUAAAUUUUGUCAUAAGAUAUAGCUUAUUCAUGCUUUUUAACAACACUUUUCUACAUGCUAAAAUGCACAGAAAGACACAUGGAAAGUUGAUGAAGAAGUAAUGAACAAACAUAUUAAUUUCUACUGUUAACAUAUGCAUCCAUACACAUAGUUUUGAAUAACUUCAAAUUGCACAAAUAGGAUCAUUCUCAUAGGCGAAACUUGGUUACAUACCUAGAGAUGACUCAAACAAAACGAAAUAAAGGUCAAUAGAUCAGUUGAUUCUUCAAAAAUGGUGAGCAGUAGUAGGCACCCAAACACAUAGCCAAAUCAGAAACCAAAAUCAGCUUUCAAGAUCCCAGAAUCAAGCUUAAAAAACUAGAAUCCAAAGCUAGAAGAAAAUCAGAAUCCAGCUAAAGAAACUAAGGAAAUUUCCUCUUUCAAACCAUGUUUUAAAAUUAUUGAGAAAUAAGAGAUAUUUUGAGAUUUUCAAAACAAUUUCUGAGUCUGAAGUUUUUAGAGAAGACCAAAUAAACUUUUUAGAGAAAAUUUUUGCUGAUAAAAUAUACCCCCCGGAGCUAUCUUUUUC